rnacentral:rRNA from 1 species
UACGGAGGGUGCAAGCGUUAUCCGGAUUUACUGGGUUUAAAGGGUGCGUAGGUGGGCAGGUAAGUCAGUGGUGAAAUCUCCGAGCUUAAACUCGGAAACUGCCAUUGAUACUAUCUGUCUUGAAUUAUCUGGAGGUGAGCGGAAUAUGUCAUGUAGCGGUGAAAUGCUUAGAUAUGACAUAGAACACCAAUUGUGAAGGCAGCUCACUACGGAUAUAUUGACACUGAGGCACGGAAAGCGAUGGGGAUCAAACAGG